rnacentral:rRNA from 1 species
UGAAGCGGCAACAGCUCAAAUUUGAAAUCUGGCCUCUUUGGGGUCCGAGUUGUAAUUUGUAGAGGAUGUUUCGGGCACCGCUCCGGUUUAAAUUUCUUGGAACAGAAUGUCAAAGAGGGUGAGAACCCCGUCUUGGACCGGCAGUAGGGCCCAUGUGAAACUCCUUCGACGAGUCGAGUUGUUUGGGAAUGCAGCUCAAAAUGGGUGGUAAAUUUCAUCUAAAGCUAAAUAUUGGCCAGAGACCGAUAGCGCACAAGUAGAGUGAUCGAAAGAUGAAAAGCACUUUGAAAAGAGAGUUAAACAGUACGUGAAAUUGUUGAAAGGGAAGCGCUUGCAACCAGACUUGCGCGCGGCGGUUCCCCCUUCCUUUUGGUUGGGUUAUUCCGCCGUGUCCAGGCCAACAUCGGUUCUGGGGGUCGGUUAAAGGCCUGGGGAAUGUAUCUACCCUUCGGGCGUAGACUUAUAGCCCCGGGUGUCAUGCGACCUCCCGGGACCGAGGAACGCGCUUCGGCUCGGAUGUUGGCGUAAUGGUUGUCAGCGACCCGUCUUGAAACACGGACCA